rnacentral:lncRNA from 1 species
AAUUGAGGCAACACUUCAGCUGCUGGGAAUGAUCUUCUGCAAGGACCUUCUGCUCCUUUGUAAUCUUCCUAAGCUGAAUACAGUCUCUUCACCCAAGAGUAAGUCCCCUCCCUGGGGAUAGCUCAAGUCUAAUGGUCAGUUGGUAAGGUCUAAUUUCUUGGUGUUUGGAGGUAUCUCACAGCCUACAUGAAAGGUUUUAGGCUCAUCUUGUUCAUAUCCUGCCUCAGAUGCGGAAUCAGCCAACUCCCUGAGCACCCCUACUUCAUUUA